GACGAACGCUGGCGGCGUGCCUAACACAUGCAAGUGGAGCGACGAACCAGACUUCGGUCUGGGGCCAAGCCGCUAACGGGUGAGUAACACGUGGGUAACCUGCCCCGAUGAUCGGGACAACCCGGGGAAACCCGGGCUAAUACCGAAUGUGGUCGCGGUCCGUGAGGACUGUGACGAAAGGAAGCUUCGGCCUCCGCAUCGGGAUGGGCCCGCGGCCCAUUAGCUUGUUGGUGGGGUAAUGGCCUACCAAGGCAUCGAUGGGUAGCUGGUCUGGGAGGACGAUCCGCAGCACUGGGACUGAGAAACGGCCCAGACUCCUACGGGAGGCAGCAGUGGGGAAUCUUGCGCAAUGCGCGAAAGCUUGACGCAGCAACGCCGCGUGAGUGAUGAAGGCCUUCGGGUCGUAAAGCUCUGUCGGGAGGAACGAAUGCUCCCAAGGUUAACAGCCUCGGGAGGUGACGGUACCUUCAAAGGAAGCACCGGCUAACUCUGUGCCAGCCGCCGCAGUAACAC
rnacentral:rRNA from 1 species